UACGAAGGGGGCUAGCGUUGUUCGGAAUCACUGGGCGUAAAGCGCACGUAGGCGGAUCGAUAAGUCAGGGGUGAAAGCCCAAGGCUCAACCUUGGAAUUGCCUUUGAUACUGUCGAUCUUGAGUUCGGGAGAGGUGAGUGGAACUCCGAGUGUAGAGGUGAAAUUCGUAGAUAUUCGGAAGAACACCAGUGGCGAAGGCGGCUCACUGGCCCGAUACUGACGCUGAGGUGCGAAAGCGUGGGGAGCAAACAGG
rnacentral:rRNA from 1 species